rnacentral:rRNA from 1 species
GACGAACGCUGGCGGCGUGCUUAACACAUGCAAGUCGAACGGGAAGGCCCUGCUUUUGUGGGGUGCUCGAGUGGCGAACGGGUGAGUAACACGUGAGUAACCUGCCCUUGACUUUGGGAUAACUUCAGGAAACUGGGGCUAAUACCGGAUAGGAGCUCCUGCUGCAUGGUGGGGGUUGGAAAGUUUCGGCGGUUGGGGAUGGACUCGCGGCUUAUCAGCUUGUUGGUGGGGUAGUGGCUUACCAAGGCUUUGACGGGUAGCCGGCCUGGGAGGGUGACCGGCCACAUUGGGACUGAGAUACGGCCCAGACUCCUACGGGAGGCAGCAGUGGGGAAUAUUGCACAAUGGGCGGAAGCCUGAUGCAGCAACGCCGCGUGCGGGAUGACGGCCUUCGGGUUGUAAACCGCUUUCGCCUGUGACGAAGCGUGAGUGACGGUAAUGGGUAAAGAAGCACCGGCUAACUACGUG